UGGGGAAUUUUGGACAAUGGGGGCAACCCUGAUCCAGCAAUGCCGCGUGAGUGAAGAAGGCCUUCGGGUUGUAAAGCUCUUUUGUUCGGAAAGAAAUCGCUCUGGCUAAUAUCUGGAGUGGAUGACGGUACCGGAAGAAUAAGCACCGGCUAACUACGUGCCAGCAGCCGCGGUAAUACGUAGGGUGCAAGCGUUAAUCGGAAUUACUGGGCGUAAAGCGUGCGCAGGCGGUUGUGCAAGACAGAUGUGAAAUCCCCGGGCUUAACCUGGGAACUGCAUUUGUGACUGCACGGCUAGAGUGUGUCAGAGGGGGGUAGAAUUCCACGUGUAGCAGUGAAAUGCGUAGAUAUGUGGAGGAAUACCGAUGGCGAAGGCAGCCCCCUGGGAUAACACUGACGCUCAUGCACGAAAGCGUGGGGAGCAAACAGG
rnacentral:rRNA from 1 species